rnacentral:rRNA from 1 species
UACGGAGGGUGCGAGCGUUGUCCGGAAUCGUUGGGCGUAAAGGGCGCGUAGGUGGCCCGGUCAGUUCGUGGUGAAAGCGCGGGGCUCAACCCUGCGUCGGCCAUGAAUACUGCCGCGGCUGGAGCACUGUAGAGGCAGGCGGAAUUCCGGGUGUAGCGGUGGAAUGCGUAGAGAUCCGGAAGAACACCGGUGGCGAAGGCGGCCUGCUGGGCAGUUGCUGACACUGAGGCACGAAAGCUAGGGGAGCAAACAGG